UGUAGCAAGGUUAACCGAAUAGGGGAGCCGAAGGGAAACCGAGUCUUAACUGGGCGUUAAGUUGCAGGGUAUAGACCCGAAACCCGGUGAUCUAGCCAUGGGCAGGUUGAAGGUUGGGUAACACUAACUGGAGGACCGAACCGACUAAUGUUGAAAAAUUAGCGGAUGACUUGUGGCUGGGGGUGAAAGGCCAAUCAAACCGGGAGAUAGCUGGUUCUCCCCGAAAGCUAUUUAGGUAGCGCCUCGUGAAUUCAUCUCCGGGGGUAGAGCACUGUUUCGGCAAGGGGGUCAUCCCGACUUACCAACCCGAUGCAAACUGCGAAUACCGGAGAAUGUUAUCACGGGAGACACACGGCGGGUGCUAACGUCCGUCGUGAAGAGGGAAACAACCCAGACCGCCAGCUAAGGUCCCAAAGUCAUGGUUAAGUGGGAAACGAUGUGGGAAGGCCCAGACAGCCAGGAUGUUGGCUUAGAAGCAGCCAUCAUUUAAAGAAAGCGUAAUAGCUCACUGGUCGAGUCGGCCUGCGCGGAAGAUGUAACGGGGCUAAACCAUG
rnacentral:rRNA from 1 species